GUUUGAUCCUGGCUCAGAAACCGCGCGGGGGGCGUGCCUAACACAUGCAAGUCGAGCGCGAAUAGGGGCAACCCUUAGUAGAGCGGCGCACGGGUGCGUAACACGUGGGUAAUCUGCCCUGAAGCCUGGGAUAACCAGCCGAAAGGUUGGCUAAUACCGGAUAAGACCUCGGACUCCUCGGAGUCUGCGGGAAAAGGUGGCCUCUGUAUACAAGCUAUCGCUUCUGGAUGAGCCCGCGGCCCAUCAGCUAGUUGGCGGGGUAAUGGCCCACCAAGGCAACGACGGGUAGCUGGUCUGAGAGGACGAUCAGCCACACUGGAACUGAGACACGGUCCAGACUCCUACGGGAGGCAGCAGUGGGGAAUUUUGCGCAAUGGGCGAAAGCCUGACGCAGCAACGCCGCGUGUGUGAUGAAGGUCUUCGGAUUGUAAAGCACUUUCGGCCGGGACGAAAACCCUGAGGCUAACAUCCUCAGGCUUGACGGUACCGGAAGAAGAAGCACCGGCUAACUCUGUGCCAGCAGCCGCGGUAAUACAGAGGGUGCAAGCGUUGUUCGGAAUUAUUGGGCGUAAAGCGCGUGUAGGCGGCUUUGCAAGUCGGGUGUGAAAGCCCUCGGCUCAACCGAGGAAGUGCGCCCGAAACUGCAGAGCUUGAGUACCGGAGAGGAUGGCGGAAUUCCCCAAGUAGAGGUGAAAUUCGUAGAUAUGGGGAGGAACACCGGUGGCGAAGGCGGCCAUCUGGACGGAUACUGACGCUGAGACGCGAAAGCGUGGGUAGCAAACAGGAUUAGAUACCCUGGUAGUCCACGCCGUAAACGAUGAGAACUAGGUGUCGUGGGUGUUGACCCCCGCGGUGCCGUAGCUAACGCAUUAAGUUCUCCGCCUGGGAAGUACGGUCGCAAGACUAAAACUCAAAGGAAUUGACGG
rnacentral:rRNA from 1 species